UCCAGUCUCUGGUCGUCCGCCUAAACUGACUAAAUGAGUUUAGUCAGCGGAGCUAGUCAGCAGAUGACUUUUUCAUCGCCGGAAUAUCGCUGAACGACCUCGCUGAACAAGAAAGGCUGCCUUCCCUUCGCUACGUCGGAGCCAUUCCUGUAUUUAGAAAGACGCCAUAUUGGAUUCACUUGAUGCCUUGGAACGUAGCUACGAUAACAGUACGAAUGGUAUUAAUUUCACGAUCAGAAAGGUGAAUCUUAUGUUUGUUUUCGUUGUAGUUGUAUGGAUAUUCUUUUUUAAUAAAUACAUGAGCCAAAAUCCUGUG